UUUCCACCGCCCGCCCCUUGCUCCUUUAAGCUUCGAUCCCUUUCUUCCCUCUCUUUCAGAGCUUAUACAAAUGGCGACUAUUAGCCGUAGCUCUCCGAGAAUGUUCACCAGGGAUCCUCACGUUUUAUCCUCAUCGAGGAACCUGGGCGAUGUUUCUCUUUUGGAUUCCACAAUUACUUGAACCAGAUUUUUCUCUCAAUUUCAAAAGCGAGUUUUUUUUUUUGUUAGAUCCACGGCGGUUACCGAGCAGAAUCCUUAGAAAUGGUCACUCGCUUCUGUAAAUGGUCCUUUGACUGCUACUGCUGUACAAUGGCAUUAAUUGGUUUUUUGUUCUGUUUGAACAACAAACAUUGGAGGCUUUGCUUGAAUCAGGCUAUUCUCUCAUCAAAGAACAACAGCUGAUAAUGGAGAAUAAACUUUCAAAGGAAUACAUGAAGAACAUUGACGACUAGAAAAGAGUAAUCUUGAUGAGUUAACUCUUAAAGAUCCUCAAUCUAGUGGAAAUCAAGAUCAACACAUGGAAGAUCCCUUGAAGGACUUGGGACUUGAUCAAGUUGAGCUUGAAGAGCAACAGGGUCAACCAAUUCCAUAUCAAGAAGUUCAACAAGAUCGACCUAAAAAUUGGACAUUCAAGAAGGAUCAUCCUAAGGACCUAAUCAUUGGUGAUAUAUCAAAAGGGGUAACAACUAUAUCCUCUCUUAGAAAUAUAUAUAAUAACCUUGCAUUCAUUUCUCAAAUAGAACCUAUGAGCGUAGAUGGUCUAUCAAUGAUGAGAGUUGGGUACUUGCAAUGCAAGAGGAACUCAAUCAAUUUGAAAGGAAUAAAGUUUGGACCUUAGUUCAUAGGCCAAAGGACCAUCCAUCCAUAGGCACCAAAUGGGUGUUUAGAAACAAAUUAGAUGAGGAUGGAAACAUAACUAAGAAUAAAGUUAGGUUAGUAGCCAAAGGCUAUAACCAAGAGGAGGGCAUUGACUAUGAUAAAAUCUUUGCCCCCGUAGUUAGAUUAG